UACAGAGGUCUCAAGCGUUGUUCGGAUUCAUUGGGCGUAAAGGGCGCGUAGGCGGCGGGUCAAGUCGAGUGUGAAAUCUCGGAGCUUAACUCCGAAACUGCAUUCGAUACUGCCGUGCUUGAGGACUGGAGAGGAGACUGGAAUUUACGGUGUAGCGGUGAAAUGCGUAGAUAUCGUAAGGAAGACCAGUGGCGAAGGCGGGUCUCUGGACAGUUCCUGACGCUGAGGCACGAAGGCCAGGGGAGCAAACGGG
rnacentral:rRNA from 1 species